CUUGAGUGCUUCAAUUCUUUUUAGAGAGAGAGAGAUGUAUUAAGUGGUAUUCCAACGUCGAAAGCAGAGACACAAAGGUUGUUCUGUUUUUUCUCUUCUCUAACUUUGUCUACAUAUAUAAAACGAAGUACAUGUGAUUCUGCUGCAUCACCAUCACCUCUUCUCUCUCUCUCUCUCUCUCUCUCUCUCUCUCUCUCUCUCAUCAUGUAAGAAACUGGAAAACCUACAACAAGCUCAGCUACCUUGCGCCGCUGCCUCCGAUAAUAUUAUUCCACCAACUUCUUCUCUUCUCUACUUUCCAAAUUCCAAUUAUAUUAAGGAUAAGAUGUUUUCAUGAUGAUCCAGGAAGAGCGAGAAGUUCGUUUAAUGGCUAGAGUUUGUUGGCCAUAUUUUGAUCCUGAGUAUGAGAACUUCAGCAACAGAAUGAAUCCUCCAAGGGUCUCUGUGGACAACACUAGUUGCCAUGAUUGUACUCUUAUCAAGGUUGAUAGUGUUAACAAACCUGGAAUUCUGCUGGAAGUGGUGCAAAUCUUGACAGAUCUUGACUUCAUAAUUACCAAAGCCUACAUAUCUUCUGAUGGAGGAUGGUUUAUGGAUGUGUUUCAUGUGACGGAUCAACAAGGAAAGAAGAUAACAGAUAGCAAAACCAUUGACUUUGUGGAAAAGGCUCUAGGACCAAAGGGCCAGAGCACAGAAGGGGUGAAGAAUUGGCCAAGCAAGCGUGUUGGAGUGCAUUCUGUUGGUGAUCAUACAUCGAUUGAGCUUAUUGGCAGAGACCGGCCAGGUCUCUUGUCCGAGAUCUCUGCUGUCCUUGCUAGCCUCCAUUUCAAUGUGGUUGCAGCUGAGGUUUGGACUCAUAAUAGAAGAAUAGCUUGUGUCCUUUAUGUCAGUGACACUACAACCCAGGCUGUGGAUCAUCCAAAUAGAUUAUGCCUUAUGGAGGAGCAGCUUAACAACAUUUUGCGCGGCUGCGAGGAUGGUGACAAAGUUGCUAGGACUAACUUCUCCAUGGGGUUCACCCAUAUGGAUAGAAGGCUGCACCAAAUGUUGUUCGCUGAUCGCGAUUAUGAAGGGUCUGGAGCAACAACAGAUGCUGAUUAUUCAUCUUCCUCAAGGCCAAAGAUCACAAUCGAACGCUGCGAGGAAAAAGGAUACUCGGUGGUUAGUGUCCGGUGCAAAGAUCGGGCCAAACUCAUGUUUGACAUUGUUUGCACUCUUACUGAUAUGCAAUAUGUUGUUUUCCAUGCCACAAUCUCUUCAGAUGCUCCUUAUGCAUCCCAGGAGUAUUUUAUUCGGCAUAUGGAUGGAUGCACACUUGAUACUGAAGGAGAAAAAGAAAGAGUCAUCAAAUGCAUUGAAGCUGCUAUUCAGAGAAGAGUGAGUGAGCUAUCUACUUGUGAUGCUGCAAAUUGUACGACAGAUACAUGGGGUUAGGUUCCACUCAGAUUGUAUCUGACCAUCAUAUCCACUAGUGAAAGUGAUGAUGGUCUUUUGCCUUCAAUAGAGCUUAAGAAUCUAUGUUCUCCAUGGUGUGAGCCUUGAACUUUGUGCAAAGGAUAGAGUGGGAUUGCUGUCUGAAGUAACAAGGAUUCUAAGAGAGAAUGGAUUAACAGUUUGUAGGGCAGGUAUAUCAACAAGAGGGGAGCAAGCACUGAAUGUGUUCUAUGUGAGGGACGCAUCUGGCAACCCGGUGGAUAUGAAGACGAUGGAAGCGCUUCGCAAAGAGAUAGGGAAGACAAUGGUGGUGGAAGUGAAAAGAGUACCUGGAAAUUCCUCCAGAGCACCAGCUGAAACCAGAGGAUGGGGUAAAACAAGCUUCUUCUUUGGAAACUUGUUUGAAAAGUUCUUGGCUUGAAGAAGAAGAAAAUCAUAUAUAUGCAUCAGGCUUGGUUUGUUAGUGAAAGACACAUCAUAAUGUAUAGAAGAAUAAAGUUAUUUGUGUGUCAAACAUGCCAAGUACUUGUACUUUGGGGCCUUUGGUAUCAUGACAAUGACAAAGACAUUGUAUCUUCUGUAGUUCUGUCUAUAACUAAACUAACUAGUUGUAAUUUUAUGUUGCCCUUUUAAUGAAUUCGGAGUCCUUGUUAGUUUCUCUUUGUA